rnacentral:lncRNA from 1 species
CGCGAAACGAGCGUAGCUUCCUUGUCGUGUGGCCUCAGUCCUUCGCCGUCCCUCGCCGUCCUUCGCCAUCGCACGCCACCGCACCCCAUCUCUCGAAAUCUGCAGACAUCUUGAUUUUUCCCACGCUGUCUGUCAGGUCUCCGCCGCCACUCGACGCCAGGGCGCCGGGUGAGUCCACAGCAGGGCGCAUGGUCGGCUCCACUCUCACCAUCGGGGGAAACUGAGGCCCCGGGGAAGGCGGCCAGAGAGGUCAGGCCCUGUCCUUGGUGCAGUGUCUCGUCCUCUUUGCCGGAGUGAGCCCCCCAGGAUUCGCGUGUCCUCGGGAAAGACACUGGCAGGCCUUGUGGGCUGUGCUGCACCUCGGACGGCUUCGCACCAGCCAGCGCCCUCUCUCUCCUGCAGCACUCUGAUCUGCACCCCCUGAGGGGCUUCCACUGUCCGCGGGGUGAGAAUGCCCCUGGGAGUGUCACAUGACUGCCGCCCCAUGUGUGUGAGAGGCGUCCUCUGGGAGAGCAUGGAUCCUGAGGUCCCAGGAUUGUCAGCUGACCUCUGUCCUGUGUGCCCAGUGGCCCCAGGUGACGUGUCUUCAAGAAGAGGCUGAGCUGCGGUGCUUGUAAGGUCUCAGCCUUAGAUCCAAGGACAGUCCAAGGAAGUCCUAAGACCAUGGAGUUGGUGAUCUGGGAUCUGGGUUUGCUGAUAUUUCUCACCGUGAAUCUCUUGGUGGUGUUUGUGGGCACGAGAGGGGCAGAGAAUGGAGAGUGAGGCUACCACAUGAAGCGUCACCAGAGCUGCUCCCUGCUGCCUGCUCAGAGCACCCCGGAUCCACUGUUCAAUCUGCACAAGAUUCGGGGUCCAGACAUGGGAGACUUCAGCUGCCUCAGAGGACCGUGGACAGGGAAGGCCAGCCUCGCAUCCCUCUGUCCAUGCCUGGAAUGACUUUAAUAACCAAGAGUUUUAUUUUUGAAUUUGUAGCUGUCGUUCACUUUUUACCCACCCAUUCAAUAAACCUUACAGAAUUGCUCCAUGUGCUUCUUAAAUCAGUGACAACCUGUGAGCCUGCCAGGCUGGCUUUGGAGAAGAGGGAGGAAUCUACACAUGUCCCAGGGGCCAUGGUGAAAAGGUGCAGUUAAUCUCCCCACUUGAAGUUAAAACCACCUUGGCUGGAGUUGGGGCAAAAAUCACGCUGGUAAGCCUGUCUUGAUGAAUUUGGCACAUUAAUGGUCUGCC